GCCUUCGUGGUGUAGUGGUCUGCAUGCUCGACUGUAACCGAGAGGUCCGCGGUUCGAUUUCCGGCGAAGGCG
rnacentral:tRNA from 1 species